AAAAUUGCACUUAAUGAUUUUAAAGGUUUUUAUCCCCUUUUUGGGAAUGUGAUGAUAUUGCAAGCAAAAUCUUGUUCAGUCUGUGCUCUUCACUGAAAAAAUUUACCACAUAUGAUAAACAGAAUGUGGUAAAAAUUUGGUUACUCAUCUGUACACAGCUCAUCCAAAAGACAGCUUAACAGCAUUAGCAAUUUCUGGUUUCAAGAAGCUGAAUAUAACAUUUCAUGUUGAACAUUUGGAACAAGGGAUGAUUUUAGCUCAGUAAAUAUAAAGAAUUCUUUCUUCUCAUCUCCCAUUGUAAGAUUAAAAAUAAAAUAAAAAAUUAUGUAUACUUUGAAGUUCUGAGGUGGCAUUCAAAUGUUAUACUUUGCCUUGAAAAAUGGCAAAAUGCUGGUAACGUUCUUCCUCUUUAACUUAAUGUUUUUGUUAUUGUUUGCUUUUUUGUCUUAAGGGGGACAGAAAACAUCCAGUAUAUUUGAGAAUAGGUAAAAUCUCCCCAUCAGUCUAUGAAUAAUAACUUACUUUGUUCAGCAAAUCAUCAAACAUUCCAAUUCUUGAUUUUAGACUCUAGGCAAUAGCUAUUCUAUUUUCAUAAUAACAUUUCUAACUGCAGUUCCACUGAUUUUACAUCAUCCAAAUCCACCAGAUAGCAUUCUAAAAGUGCUGAACAAAAACAUUACAUAUUUUGCAUCAGCAUUAUGCUAGGGACAACAUAAAAGCAAUGGAAUAUAUAAUGAAAUGAGCUGAAUUUAAAAUCCUAAUACCCAAAUGACUUUAGCUAGCCAACACACACCCUGACAGAACAGCCCGGUAGAAUCAGUAGGAUAAUAGGGAAUGAAAUUCUUCUGUUGUAGGACUGGUAUCUCCAAAGCAAAAAGCUAACUCUGGGAGGGAAGCACAAGCAAGGAUAAACUAAGAUGGCAUAGCAUUUCCUUAACUUUCUAAACAGCCUAAAAGGAAAUUGUCAGGUAAUCCUAACAUGUAGGUUCAUUAUCUUGCAGACUGUGCACAGCUCAGUCAAACCUCUCUAAGCCUUGGCCAGUGAACAUCACUGAGUUGUGAAGAUUAUUCAUUUUAAAGAUCAAAGUGAACAAUUGCUUGAAGAAGCUCCAACUAAGUCCAUUAACAUUCCUUUUCCUGGGAAUCUCUUUUUGUACAAAGCUCAAAAUCCAGCCAAAAUCAUCAUGCAUUCAAGUGAUCAAUGAAUGAGCACUACAUACGGCAAUGAGGUAAAUGUUUGGGAAUGACAAAAACUAGAAUAAGAAAAAAUCACUGCAUUGCUAAGAGAAGUUUAAGUGUUGCAUGCAAAUCUUCACGACAAUUGAUUCGCAAUGAAGUUUAUAUUCAUUUCAUGAUCAUUUGCCACUUGAUUACAUGGAGUUAACUCACAGAGGAACUGCCUUUCCAAAGUUUCCCAGUCAAACUUGUAAUUAAUACUCCCCUCAUUUUGACUGAACUAUUUUGCUUUUUAAGAUGUAACUGUAGAUUUACAUCAGUGAGAGAAGAAGUGUCCAUAAAUAACCCAAAGGAGGACUUCUGAUUCAGGAAAUGGGAAGUAAAAUUCAGGAAGUGAUACCUUUUCCUCAUUGCUGCCGUAUAGACUUGAGGAAAACUCUAGCAUUACAACAGAGUUCCAAAGGGCAAAGAAGACUUGACCACAGGACUGCUUGAUUAUAGCAGAGAACACAUGCAGUAUGAGCUUUGGACAAGUAAGAGAUACUGCUUAUGCAUCUGCUGCCCAGAAAAAUUUACAGCACAAAUGUUGUAUGAAUCAGUGUGAUAGCUGCUGUCAGCUACAAAUAUCAUCUACAUAUUACGCACCUACCACAUGCAAAAUACUCCCACAAUGAUCUUAUUAAAGAGGCUGUGCCAUACAUCAAAAUAAUGUUAUACCUACAGCAGCCUGUAGGUUCUAAAAUAUGCCCUUCCUGCUUAUUUUGUACACAGCGAAAAAUGACACACUUGUGAGUAAACUUGCUCAUUAAUUCUGACAGAUAAUUCUGAAUACACAGUUGAAACCUCAACUUAAGUAUCUGAAAGAUGUAGAAAUAGAAGUGUUCCAAAUGUUAGUGAAAAAGAAGGAGUAAGAGGUAGAGGAACAGAGAUGACAACAUAAUUAUUUGAGCUGUGCAGAAUUUUAGAUGGGUAAUAAUUAACUGAGUGGUGAAUGGCUCAGAUAAGAGAGAGAAAAAUCUCACAACCUUUUUUUGAGUAGUGUCUGAAAAUAUCUGGAUCCAAAACAGAAGACUGUUUUGCAACAAUCACUCCUGAGUUUCCCUCUUCCACCAGCUUUUCCCAUCUACCUCAUUGUCUAAAAAGCAAAAGAUACUCUGGACACAACCAUGUAAGAACUGAGGAAUAGUCUGUGCUCAUUCACAGCCUUAAGGAGAUCAGUGUUCAUUGAGAUGGGAGGAAAAGAGAAUCUCCAGAGUUUUGUCUCAAAAAGGCCCAACAAACUGCAGAGCUGUGUGUCUGUGGCUGAGGUCCAGCCAGCCUCAGUGCCUCCGAGCAGCACAGGUGGGAGUUCCUCCACAUUUGAAGCUGUGGUCCCAUGUGCAAUGGCCCAGCUUCCCAGCAGGGCUGCUGCCCUUGGAACACCAACCAGCAGUAGGAGAAGCCUCACUGCCUCUCCAUUCCUUACUCAGAGCUAAGGAUGUCCAAGUCUGAGGCUGAAAGGGGGAAGCAGCAGUCCCAGUCCUGCCAAGCAUGAAGAUACAGGGCCCAGAAGAGAUGUCAGCACAACGCAUUGUCAAGGAGAUGAGUUUUAUCUUGCAUGUCAGAAACCAGCUGUGAUUACUCCAGGUGCUGUGAUCUGACAGAAUCAAAGCAUUUCCUAGAACAGCUUUGUGCCAUGAGCUGAAGCUGCUUCUCAGGAAUCAAGUAGAUUCCCCUCCUCCACUGUCCCUUUGCUAUAUAAAACCUGUGCAUAAUCCACUCUUUCCCAUAUUUUUCAUGCAAAGCCAUUUACAUUAUUUGUUGAAAGGCCAGGCAAACACAUACAGCAUGCAAUUCAGUACAGUAAAUGUGAAAACAUUUGCCAUUAAUUAUUGUAACCCCCAAUAAUUGUGAUCCCCGUGCGAAAAGGUAAAGAUAAACCAUUACCUACAAAGAAUAUUUCAUUUUCUAUGUAAGGAGGUGGCAGUGGAAGCUUGCUAGCAAUAAGUAGCCAGGACAGUAAUCUGAAAGUUUAUAUAUGUAGCUAGUGCUCCAGCCAGCAGAUAAUGCAGGCAAUUAGUGCUACUGUUAAUGUGCCUGCAUGCCUCAUUUCUGGAGAUGCAUGCUGAGCGCUCUCCUCUUAAGGUGGCUUCAGCAAGUGGUCCCUAUUUAACAGACACAGCUGUAUGCAAGGAAAGCAGAUCUUUCAGGAGGACAAGCCACAGUUUUAACUUGUUCUUGGUGUCAGAGCAGCAAUUGCAGUGAAAUGGAAGGAAAAAAACUAAACAAGUAUACAUCUACUAUAGACAGAUGGCUAAUAAAAAUUUGGGGAGCUCUUUCAAUACAGAAAUUGAGUAGUUUAAAAAGACACCUACAUAACAAAUGCUUGGACAUGUUGUCUCCUUUUAUAGAACACAAACAUUUGCCCUUUAACUCAGCAGCUCAACUAUUUGUUCCUUUGCUACUUAUUCUAUGCAAAGCUUCAAAACAGGCAUACAGCCAAUAUUUAACCUUUACUAUAUAACGUAAUGAACCCACCCAAACAAUAGGUGCAGCAAAUAUUAACAACUAAAGUGCCAUACUCAACUACAGCAAUGAAUUUUUAUGGUGAAGAUCCUGGAUUUCUGCCCUAUCAUGCCAGGUGUAGAGUAGUCCCUAUGAAUUAGCAGGUUGCAAUAACCCGUAAAUACGCAUCUCAGCCCGCUGAGGUUUAUGCACGCCUGCAAACAUCUGCUUUUGUUUUGUACUUCCAUCUGAAGACAAGAACAAAUAUUUCUAUUUCCUCUCAAAUGUUGACAGGUGAAUCAGUGUUUCAACAUUAAAGUAGGUCAGCCCACGUUGCAUUAUUCAGUGUAGCAGCAUGACACUUCUCAAUGAUAAAAUAUUGUCUAAUACUAAUUUGAAGUGAUACAAGCAUAUAUCUGCUUUCUGCAGAAGAAAAGUUGCUUUAAUUUGAAAUUGUCCCUCCUCCGUCUGGAAGGAAAACGUGAAGGAUUACAAAUCAAUUCUUAUUGCCUGCCUAUCCUCCUCAUCCUAGUCUAUAGCUGUGCAAGCCCACAAUUUGAGGACAAGCAAAUGUCUGCUCUGAGGAAGUACAAGUGACAGCUGAUGUACAGGGGUAGCAGCAGCUCCAAAAAAAGAAUUAAAGCUACCUCACAUGCAACAAACUUCUGGGAAUCUCCCCCAACCAUUUACAGAGUCACAAUCACAGCAUUUUCUAUUCCCUAAAGUGAUUUCUCUCCCCUCUCACAUUCUUUUCUGCAUAAUCUAGGGAAUUAUUCAUGAAUUAGGAAAAUCACUGUUUGUACACAAUUUCAAACUUUAUAUUAUGGCAUAGUCAGUCUAAAAUGUCACUUGUUGUGGCACUGUAGAAAAUAGACUCAAUAUGUGUUCAUUUAUCUUUAUGUUCAAGUAGAUACAUGAGGGCUGCUCUGAAAGCAUUGCAUUCCAUUUUAUGCUGUUUGCCCAUAAUAUCAGGGGCAGAUAUUGGUGGGAUGGGAGUAGAGGCUAAACCUUUCCACCAAUAUUCCAUUACAUUGUGUUGCUAUGUGACAGAUGGCAGCAGAGGGGCAAUCUGACAGAAUGGUGUCUGAUAUGGAAGAGCAUAUGGAUUAAAGGGGUGAUCAGGAGUGAAUGCCCCCCUGCAGAUAAAAUGGCACCCAAUGACAUUCGCCGAUGCUUGCUGAAUGGUUAUUGGGACCAAAUAGUGAACGUGAACAAAGUGAGGCAGUGGGUGGUGUGUUUCUGCAGUGAUGACACCAAUGUGAAAGACAAACCACGUUCCAUGCACAGCUGUCACACCAUGAAAUGAAGAGCAUUUCAGUCAGCUCAUCCACAUAAAUUUGUGGAUUAUGAUGAUGGAACUGUGUAUGGAGCUGAAUAUCAGCUCCAAUACAUUGGAAACUAUAGUGGAAACAUUGGAAUAUCGCAAAGUUUACACCAGGUGGGUCCUCCAAAUGCUCACAGAGGAUUAGAAAGAACACUGUAUGCAAGUUUGUCAAAACCUAUUGAACCAAUAUGAAGUAAAGGUUACAGUUUCCUGGAUCACAUCAUUACUGGUGAUGAGACCUGGUAUCAGCACUACAAGCCAGAGUCAAAACAGCACGCCCACAGAGUGGUGAUAUGUGACUUCACCAUCAAAGAAAAACUGCAGGAUGCAGCCCCUCAGUACAUAAAUUGAUGUGCACUGUUUUUGGGGAUAAGAAAGAGAUGAUCCUUCUGGAUUUCCUGGAAUUCAGACAAACCACCAACUCCAGCCACUAUGUUCUGAUGCUGACUAAGCUGAAGGCUCAAACUUCCAGAGGUAGGCCAGAGAACAAGACAAUCUUUCUUUCACAACAAGGUAAUGCCAGGCCCCAUUCCAGUUUGAACAACAUGGAGCACAUUGCCAAUCUUGGCUGGACCUACCACACCUACCAUAUUUGGUGCCUUCUAAAUUCCAUCUGUUUGGGCCAAUGAAAGGUGGACUGUGUGGGCAACAUUUUUCUAGCAGUGACACCAUCAUAGCAGCUGUGAAACAGUGGGUCACCUUCACUGGUCCAGAUUUCUACGUAUGUGGCAUGCAGGUUCUUGUUCAUCACUGGUGAAAAUGCAAAGCUAAUGGUAGUGACUGUUGAAAAAUAGUGCUUUGUAGCUGAGAAUUUGCUCUAUCAAAUAGUCAUUGUGUUCUUCAUAUCAGUUGUAGUUUCCAUGGAAAUAAAUAGGAAACAUUAUUUUUGGAGCAACCUAUGCACUAAAAAAAUAUACCUGAAAAUAUCCUUCAAAAUGAAACAGCCUAUGAUCAUAGUUGCAGCUGAUGAGAUGGAAGAAAAAUCCUAGAACCUGUUACUGUAAUAUUAGCAGAGAUAGUAGAUGUGGAUUUAUCCAAGGGUAGAGAUGUAAAAGUUAAGUCUUUCUCUAACAAUAAUGCCUCCUCCCCAUUAGCAGUAUACUCCUCUACAUCAGUUUUAUUUGCUUCUGGCCCUUACCAGAUACAACAGCAGACACUUCAGCUCUUCUCCAACACACAUCAUAAAACCUCUAAAAAGAUGAAGGGAUAAGAACUGGAUGGAGAGAAGGGGGCUAUGCUAAACAUACAACACUGGUUAACUCCCCAUAGAAAUCCAUGCUGAUGUAAACUGAUGUUAUUCUAUAAAAAUUAAAAUAACUGUUUACAGCAAGAUCUGUUUCUGAUUUUUAAAGUUUUUCAGAUUAACAAGAAAAACUCA
ensembl:lncRNA